rnacentral:rRNA from 1 species
AAGUCCUAGCUUGCUAGGAUGGAUUAGUGGCGCACGGGUGAGUAAUAUAUAGUUAAUCUGCCCUACACAGAGGAACAACAGUUGGAAACGACUGCUAAUACCUCAUACUCCUAUUUGACAUAAGUUAAAUAGGGAAAGUCUUUUCGGUGUAGGAUGAGACUAUAUCGUAUCAGCUAGUUGGUAAGGUAAUGGCUUACCAAGGCUAUGACGCGUAACUGGUCUGAGAGGAUGAUCAGUCACAUUGGAACUGAGACACGGUCCAAACUCCUGCGGGAGGCAGCAGUAAGGAAUAUUGCGCAAUGGGGGAAACCCUGACGCAGCAACGCCGCGUGGAGGAUGACACUUUUCGGAGCGUAAACUCCUUUUAUCAGGAAAGAAUAAUGACGGUACCUGAUGAAUAAGCACCGGCUAACUCCGUGCCAGCAGCCGCGGUAAUACGGGGGGUGCAAGCGUUACUCGGAAUCACUGGGCGUAAAGGACGCGUAGGCGGAUUAUCAAGUCUUUUGUGAAAUCUAGUGGCUUAACCACUAAACUGCUUAGGAAACUGAUAGUCUAGAGUAGGGGAGAGGUAGAUGGAAUUCUUGGUGUAGGGGUAAAUCCGUAGAGAUCAAGAAGAAUACCCAUUGCGAAAGCGAUCUGCUGGAACCUAACUGACGCUGAG